rnacentral:rRNA from 1 species
AACGAACGCUGGCGGCAGGCCUAACACAUGCAAGUCGAACGCUCCAGCAAUGGAGAGUGGCAGACGGGUGAGUAACGCGUGGGAACCUUCCCUAUGGUUCGGAAUAGCUCAGGGAAACUUGAGGUAAUACCGGAUAAGCCCUUCGGGGAAGAUUUAUCGCCAUUGGAUGGGCCCGCAUAGGAUUAGCUAGUUGGUGAGGUAACGGCUCACCAAGGCGACGAUCCUUAGCUGGUCNGAGAGGAUGAUCAGCCACACUGGGACUGAGACACGGCCCAGACUCCUACGGGAGGCAGCAGUGGGGAAUAUUGGACAAUGGGCGCAAGCCUGAUCCAGCCAUGCCGCGUGAGUGACGAAGGCCUUAGGGUUGU